rnacentral:rRNA from 1 species
GUGCCAGCAGCCGCGGUAAUACCGGCAGCCCAAGUGAUGGCCGAUCUUAUUGGGCCUAAAGCGUCCGUAGCUGGCUGCGCAAGUCCGUCGGGAAAUCCACGCGCCUAACGUGUGGGCGUCCGGCGAAAACUGUUCGGCUUGGGACCGGAAGACCCGAGGGGUACGUCCGGGGUAGGAGUGAAAUCCCGUAAUCCUGGACGGACCACCGAUGGCGAAAGCACCUCGGGAGGACGGAUCCGACAGUGAGGGACGAAAGCUAGGGUCUCGAACCGGAUUAGAAACCCGAGUAGUCC